AAUCCAUGUUGUGGACAUUUCUGUAAGAGGUCCUUAAAUCGCUCCCAUGUCUCAAACAAGGAUUCAAGCUCUAUCUGAACAAAUGAAGAUAUCUCAUUGCAAAGCUU